ensembl:snRNA LOC120099458 U1 spliceosomal RNA
AUACUUACUAGCAGUGGAGACACCACAGUCAAGAAGGUGGUUUUCACAAGGCAAGGCUCCUCUGUCGCACUCGGUAUAUGCUGACUCCUGUGAUAUAUCAAAAUGUGAGAAACUUGACUGUAUAAUUCAUGGUAGUGUGGAACUAUGCUCACACUUUCAUC